rnacentral:lncRNA from 1 species
AAAAGUCAAGCGAAAGAAGCCCGCAUACCCACUCUUCUUUCCCCCCCCUUGCCUUGGGCUUGGGGGGCCUCGUUGUCACCUUUGGCUCCAACUACUUUACUUUUAGCUUGCUGCCAAAGUUUCCCUUACUCAAACAAACCAAAACUCAAACAAACCAAACCUCAUUUUUUGAUUUCAAGCGCCCAAAAUCGACCCGGCGGGUCUCGUAUAAAAACAGAAUUACUACAAGUUAAGUAACAAACUCAAAACGGAAUUGGAAUUCUGGGUCAACGAUAAUCUUUUAGAAGACAUCUUAUACAAUCGUAGAUUUCAUUAUUUAUAUCUCCUUCUUUUUUGACUAGGUUGAAAGCCUGUAGUAAAUUUUUGUGGACCGAAUCAAGCAAGUUCAUUUUAGGGGCGGGUAUCAAUCCGGCAUCCCGGAGAAGUUCAGAGGCUACCUUAUUUAAGAAACUGGGUGUUUCUAUAUAAGGGUGAGCUCCGGGGAACUCGGCAAUUCUAUUUUUUUUUUAUUUUGUUAAAUACGCGUCCACUUCUUGAAAUACAAGAUUGCGUAAACAAUCCUCCUUCUCUUUUCUUUUAUCCUUUCUGUUAUUAUUAGAAUUUGAAGAAGAUGAGGAAGAAGCGGGCGCCUGAGAAGCAUUUAGAUUUAGCAUGUGGUUGAUUACAUAAAUGGGGAACUGCCUUAAAGCGCGAACCAAGAUCCAUGAUACGAAAACCAAAAUAUAGAAAGUAAAGAAGAAAAGACAUAACCAAAAAAAUUGUGUAAAAUAAGUGAAUUUAUCCAGUUGAGGCAUGCUUGAUUGAGAAAAAAGGAUUCCCUCCAGACAGCUUAACGGAGUUAAGCCUGUAUGAGUAGUGAAGAAUUCGAAUUGAAAUGGAUUGGUUAUUGGUUUUUCCAACGAAAGAAAGCAUGGGGCACAAACUCGAAACAACGAAGUUCUCAGGAGCAAUAUCAACUACCUAGACCGACCUGCUAUAAUAAUUCCAUCAACACCUAGCGAAGAUACUGUACUGAAUGACUGGAUCGAUCGUACUAGAUAGAUAGUCUCAGAUAGACAACCUUUCAUACGCAAUUCCUCGAUGCCAAUCUCGCACUUGGUCUGAUCGCACCGUAGAUCAAGUUGGAGAUGUAAAACUCUUUUCUCCUAUUAUUUCAUUUGCACGAGAUAAGGCAAAAAGCCAAAGCAAAGGGAAAGGGGAGAAGACAGAGCUCCCGAAGCCCACAAAAGCGUAGGGGGAGAGUGAGACUAGUAGGGCGAUGGAGUGAGCCCCUUACCCAAGAUGGGAGGUUCCCGUCGAGACUAAGCCCUAACUAAGUGAGCGCAACAGUUUAGACUCAACCAUAAUAUGUAAUUAUGGGAUGCUGCGGGAGUGCACGGUGUCCGGGUAGACGAACCGACGGGACGUAGCCAUUGGCCCUUCCUGUAGAGGAUUGCCUUUUCUCAAGAUGAGACAGUUGGGAUGGAACUUGAACGGGGUUCAUUUGCAAAAGUUGGAGAAUCCAACCUGCUGCUGUGGGAAUAGUGCCUCACGUCGACUUUUUGCCGUUGAAUCCCGAAGAAAGAAUAAAAUAGAAAAAAUUCCUUUUAAGGAAAGAAUCCAUAGGAGAAGAUAGCCACACCGACGCACAGAGAAUAGGGGGUGGAGACGAAGAAGGGCAGAAACUUACAUACUUCUUUCCAGCUCUUCUAGUUAGCGCGUAGUGGGAAUAGCCCCUUCCAUUGCCUGAAAGCCAAUAAAGAGUGCCUCACGUUCCACUGAACGCUGGGGAAGGAAGUGACAUAGUUUUUUUUACGAGGGGUAUGCUUUAUCUAUCUUAUUGGCUUAAGCAUCCUAUUAUUCUUUUAUCCCAUUAUAAGAAGAUUUUCCGGCCCUCAUUACGUCUUCUUUCUUUUUUUGAUUACCUUCCUCGCGUAUGUAUAAGAUAAGAUCGAACCCAUUCGAUUUCUAAAAAGGAUUACUCAUCCUUAACUUUUCGAGGAAUCCUUUAUCAGUGGUUGUGAAUGACCUAUUUUUCUCAAUCUUUUCGACCUUGGUUCCGUAGGAGCAAGUCAGAAAGAUUGAGAAAUAGAACCAUCUGAUUUGAUUCGUUCUCAAUAGCCAUGAGAUGCUCAUCUUAGGGUGAUCCUUUUGUCGACGGAUGCUCCUAUUACACUCGUAGUCUCUGAAGGAUGAGAACCAGAACCAACUAUGUAGCAUCUACCUGGCGUUUGGAAGCACUAGAAUUAGUGGGCUCUGGGGCCUAACUUAGUGGUUGUCCCUCUUCCAUUCUUCGAACCUGGUCGUUAGAAUGGCGGCGGCAUCCCGCGCGGAGGCGGGCCUUCCAUCGGGUUGGGAAAGUUGUCGGAUAAAGAUCCGAAUUUGCUCCAGCUCCGGCUCGGAAGCCGUCUGGAGCCCUAGUUCUUCCCCAACCCUAUCUGUGAAGUCCCUGGAAGAACUCCGAACCCCAAAAGAGGAUAGAAAGUAACCCACUUCAAAUUGGGUCCUGCGCCUACGGUCAUUCCCAAAAAUGGAAUCCAAUGGGUCAUCCCUCCCCUAGCCAUUCCUCAUGCUGAACAGGGGAGGGAUUUGAAUUUGAGGCCCCUGCUGUGGCGCUGGCCCUUCAACCGACUGUUCCCUCUCAAAAAGGUUAUUUUCCUCUAAGGAGGGGAGUGAAGGUACAGAGGGGAUUGAAGGAUCGGUUGGUAUAGGUGUAAAAGAGGAGGGAAUUGAGGGAAAAGACCCCAGAGGAGAGUCCGCGGGGGCCACAUUAGAAGGGCCGGCUUCAUGCCCUUCCGGAGGUUGGUUUACGCCGGCUUCCGCCCCAGUAGGCGAAACCCGCAUUUCAAAGAAAGACGCGGAUUCGCUACUUAGAAAUGCUUUUAAACCCAAGGGCGAAGGUCAGACCCCCACCAAAGCCCAGUUUUAUGCAUAACUGGCAAAGGACGCGCACCCAAAAAUGGAGUCCUACUUUGGAGAGAAGCCAAACGAAAUACGAUCCAAUUUCAAGUGUUUCACAAAGCCAAUAAAAAAACAAAACCAGAGUGAUGAACAAUAGAGAAAUUCUCAAACCCAUGGAACCAAACCCGCGUAAGAUCAAAAAAACUAGCAGACUAAUCACUAAAUAGAUACAAAUAGGUGCAAAUUCUAACAUCACCACAGCCCACUUUAUUCUCUCGCUCCUUGCUUGCUCGCGGAGCGGCAUACCGGAAAAAAAAUGAAGAAGAAAAAAAACGAUCAAUCUCAUCUCAUAGUGCUAGGAUGAAGAAAGGAAGGAAGAGGUAAUCUUUCUACGCUACGAUCUUUCUUCUCUUAUGAUAUUGUUGUUUUGUUGUAAACCUGAAUUGAAUGGGUUAUAAUUAGAUAAUUAAUAGGCUGACUUCCAUUUCGUUUCGAUCUUCCACCUUAACCCUAGUACACGGGCGCCCAAACGGAGCUUGAAAGCACUGUGGGCGAAGGGUUCUCAACCAAUCUCGCACUUGACACGCAAAGCAAUAAACAGCAGUCUAUCUUCACAGAGAAAGAGAAGGAUCUUCGGCAAAGGGUUCCCGGCUUCGCGAGAACUUUUCGAUCUGCUCUAGGCUAAGCUCAAUGGGGCCUUGCUUUGCUUUGUUGAUGCCAAGCUCUUAGUCUGAUUCAGAUAAACUGUGAACCAAGACAUGAAAAAGAACGAACUCAAAACGAAUUCUUGAAUAUUAGAUCUUCUACCCGCGGUGCGGUAAACGGAACACAAACAGAAUCUUCACUUCAAGUUCAGAUAGCAAGACAGUGAACAAUUAUCAGUGUGACCUACAAUUACAUUCCCUGACGUGGGCUAGUCCCGAUCAAGAAAAAUGGGGAUUUCGUCCCAAAGGCUGCCAAAGACCGACUACAAACUAUACGCUACGGACGAAGGUCCACCAAAAGAAGAAUUGACAAGAAUUCGGGUGGGGUCUCUUUCCUUAUUCCUUAUCUUAUAUCUUAUGUUAUUUCGAGUUGUUACUGGCCUUAGCUAAUGCACUGGUUGAGAUUAUAGUGGUGGUGAAGUCAGUUAAGAAUAUUCAUCCUAGACUCUAAUAAACAUCGAAUGGGAUUUCUGGGCAGAAUGCGCUCUUAGAAAUUGAAUCAUCCUAGGCUGUUGGAGAAGGGCUUGUUUGCUAUGAAAUAGAAUCGGUUGUUAACGGCUCGAGUAACCGAUAUGAUAGACAGAAGCAAGGGAGGACCCGGAGUUUUUUACAGCAAGUGCCAUUUAUCCUAUUGGAAGUGUAGCAGGAGUAACAAUUCCUAUUGACCCAGUUUAAGUACUCAGCACUAGCGAAAGGGAUGGACAAGAAAGCUAGGGGGAGAGUGGCAGCAUAGAGCUUUUCUUUUGAUAUGUUUGUAUAGGGUUGGGCUAACGAUCUUUCCCCAAGAGUGUCCUAAUAUAGAAUCUAGUAAGAAGACUAGGCCUCUUAGUUAUCCCCAUAGGAUAAGAUAAAACCUAGCAGUUAUUCCAAUAAAAGACUAGCAGUUAGCGAGCCAGCUAGAUAGAUAAAUGGCAAAAGCAAAGAAGCUUUCAAGCUUUCAGUUUCAAAUCGGAUAAAGCGAUAAGACAGGCACAGAGAAGCUCCAGGAGUUCCAUUGCCCAGUUUCUUUUACAUCAGUCCCGCGGUGACAGCGAUUUCCUAUUUCCUUAUAGGAAGUUUCCGUUCCAUUCCCUUUUAUGGCAUCGCCUUCAACCAGACUCUCUCUUAGUAAACAAUAUAACCAGAAAAAAGCAGCAUAAACAAGAAAAACAGGACCUCCCUCCAAGGUUCCAAUCUCGGACUUUCUUCACAUCUUACAGAGCAGGAAGAUAAGAAUCCUAUUGAAAAGAGAUAGACUCGAGAAGAGUAUACCAGUACAUCCUUCAAGCUAAUAAAUUGAUGCGAACACAGUUGAUGCAGAUUCUUUUUCCCUUUUCCCAUAGGAUGAGCGAUAGGAAGAUUUAGUUCUUACGCUGAAUGCCAAAUAAAAAUAAAUGGAACCAAAGCAAAACGAAUAUUCUCUACAUACCGGGGAAAUUUAGAACAUGAUCUAGAGCUUGUACAAAGUAGGGGCUCUGUAUACCCUGGUUGACAAGGUCUAAAUAUCUCUAUUGCGAAUUAGCCUUUCUCUACUUACAUCAACCCGUGAAGCUAGCAUUAAAGCUAACUAUACAUUACAUAGAGAAUCCAACCUCCAUCAACAUGGAGGGUUGAGUGGAGUCCUUUUUCUUGACCUUGUGAUCGGGCCUCAAGAUCCGAUCCAUUUAAAUGUGGUAGAUAUCGAGGCAUCGUUCACUUUCCUAUUUGGAAGACUUUUGCCCCAUUCAGCAGGGCCCUUCCCCACCGACUUGUUACCGUCCUAUCAAGGCCUCUCUCUCUUACUCUUAGAGGCCUACUUUUUCCACGUGCGAUCCUUGCCUUCUUUGCUUUGUAGCUUUAAGUGCGCUCCAAAGCCAUGGCUUUGCUCUAUACCAACCUAACCUCCCUUCCUUCUUUUUCCCGACUGCCACAAUAUAGGAAAUCCAGAUUGCAUAUCUCAGCCAUUUUUUUUGAAAAUGACCACAUCAGUUUCACGUGAUACGGAACUGCAUGUGGUGAUCAAUUGCCCGGCAGAUGUUGAAUCGAAAAUCAAACAUCUAUAACAAAUGUUUAAUCCCUCGUGCAUGAGCGGGCACGUGAAGCUGCUUGUUUCGGGUGUGGCGAACACUGAACGUUGAUACAGGGCAUAGUUGUCCUGCUCGUCGUUACGAUCCCAAUCACGAUCUGAUAGUGACAUUCACAUAUAAGAAGAUGGAUUCGUUCGCGAAAGAAAGCAAAUGCAAGGGUGAGGCUAAGAUUAAGAGUUUUUCCAAAUAUGACGUAGUAGAGCCCCGUGCCUUAGUUUGGCAUAGGGUUAUAAGGAACAAUACGACAGGGCAAUAGUGCUCCUCACCAAACCCUAGAGCUUUAAGCGCAUUCUUAAUCAAGCUAGCCUAGCAUAGCGAGACCAAAUGCAAUAGCAACUGUUUGAAAGAAUACCGCUCCGUGGGCAUUCGAGUCCGAAGAAGAAUAAGCUGUUUCAAAAGCAUCUAAAUCAAAAGAGUAGAGCAGCGUCUCGCGGAAAUAAAUUGACCAGAUCGCUGGGAAUUGCACGAUGUCGAGUUCUCUCCUUGUCCACGACUUCUGAUGAACGAACUUGACCACGUACUCGAGCUUUGAAUCGAUACCCCGCCUACCUCCCUUCUCGUGUUAACACACUCACGAAUGAAAUAUCAAAUAUGUAUACUUACUCCUUACUACUACUUGAACCUUACCUACCCGAGCUAUAAUACAACCAGAUAGCCUAGGACCAUCAAUCGAUAGGCUAAUCCGCUCAAGCAAGAGAAUAUAAGAUGAAAGGAAAGAUUAUACACUGCGCAAUUAGACCUAUGUGCUUUGCUUUAUCCUAUAUAAAUAGGAUUCUUUUAGUAGGAAGACCUGGAAAUGGAGAUAAUUCAGUAGUGGGAUUUCCGAGCUUGAAGCAGCAGACAUCACGAGAACUCAACUUUCAAUGUUUGGCGUGGUCUUUGUCUUUGACCUUGCCACCCUUUGUUUCUCUUCAUACAUCGACCAUACACCAUACAAUUGAUCUGAGAAGGGAUGCCUUUAUUUAACUUUCAGAAAGAGUGGCUCGUGCAUCAUCAUCAUCUUUCUCUUAUAUAUGCUAUUUGAAGAUAGUGAUUUGAAUGCCUAUCCCCUGCCUAUGCGCUUGCCUUUACUACCUGCCCUUACCUGCCUGCCUUGAACUACUGCACUUGCGCAUACUUUAUCUUGCUCUAUCUAGAAGAUAGCUUGAACUGGCAUUGUGACUACAGAUAUAUAGCCAGAAGUAUUCCCAAGCCGGAGAGGUGGGAGAGGAGAGAAAUUCAAUUUACAGGCUUUCUACCAAUGACCGGAGACCAGAAAGGGGAAUAGAGAGAUAAGCCUUGAGCGGUCAGACCAAUUACGAUCGAUUCGCUAAACAUUCAAGAUUCGAGAUGAGCUGCUAAAAGAAGGAAGGGCGAUAGAGAGAGGUGGAAGGAAGACAGCCUAUAAUGCAUUACCAGAAGGAGAGCUACCAGCACUAAUAGCUAGAGGACCUAGAACUCCAGAACUAGAGUCAGUGAUUGCGCCAUAACAGAGUGCUAGAGGGCCGGAGAGAUAUUGAUUAAUGAUAUUCAUAGGGAUUGCGAUUGCACUUAUGCUUGUUGCCAGCCUUGAACUUGAAGUGGAUCUCCUAUCUAUAUUCGACAGCUUGAAGAGGGCUGAUUUCUAAAGAGAAAUUGUCAUUGAAAGCGAUUCCUUCGCUCAAGAACUAGACUCAAGGGAUUGUGCCUACCAGUCAAGACAGGAAGGUGGGACACUAGCUAGCCUCUUGACCGAAGCGCCAACCCCCCUUCUCUAAUGCGCAUAUUGAGACUGAGCUUGCUUUGCAUCUGAUCUAAGCCUAUCGCCUGUCUCCAACUGCCUUUCUAUUGCGCCUGCCGUUAACUCCUGUUUACCUUCCCUUCCUUUCGGAGAGUUCCUUACUCAUAAGUAAUAUACUGAUUAGAUUAAAGGGAGGAGAUAUCUUUCAUAAAAGUAAAUCGCAAUUAUUUAUUGAAUUCAAAGAAGAUUGCGCCAAUGAAAGAGAUAGAAGAGCGGUAUGACAGAGCUCAACAAAGGAAGGAGCUUGCCAAACUAAGCAAGGGCUGCCCUUUUCUUUCUUCCAUCCGCCUAUUAUCUGACUACUGUUUGUUCAACUCAACAACAGCAACUGGUUUGCCUUACUUGGCUGGAAGUACAAGAAGGUGCGUAGUUUGUUAGGAAUUAGGUGUCUUAGAGAUGAGAAGACUGAUUAGUAACCCGGCUUACUCGACCAAGAACUCCAGCUUGGCUCGAAGAUGCCAACAGCAUUCCCUUUACUUACGCAAUAUUUACUCGUUUACUUGUUAGCUAGCGCUACUCCACACCUUUUGCUUUGAGGGAAUCUAAGGUUUUGAAAGAACGUAGUAAGUGGUGAACGAAGUUUCCUCGCUCGUUAGAGGAAGUGAACGGUUGGCUCGAAGAGGGAAGAGAUACGCUAGCUACUUGCUUUGUUAGAAAGCUAAGCGACUAGUUUACUGUUGAGAGGUAGCGAAGAGGACAGAUAGGCUAAAGAGAGGUUAGUACUAGUUAGUGUUAGAGAGCUUGCUGGAUGAGAGCAAGCAGACUGGAUUGAGUUCCACUUCCAUACUCUAGUUUACAUAGGGGCGAAUGGCUGGCUUGUUUGUCUAGUCCUACCUCUUCCCCCUAAGCUCUUAGUUCCAUCCAUACACAAACAUCUCUUCUCUCUAACAAGUAAGCAAGUAAACCACCUUGGUAAAAGUUGUAAGAGACUUGAUUUACUUUUCGUUCCGGAUCUCUGUUAUCCUUUGAGUGGUGGCUGGUAGGCGGGGACCUCUCAAUCCUUACUUAAAGGGGAGAAUAACGGAGAUGGUCAGAAUGCCCCAAAAUCUAUUCGAUUUCCUAUCCUUGGUCAACCCAAGGCUUUUGAGAAGGGGACAUGUGAUCCAUUUGUUCUCCUUUCUAAGCGAUCCAUUGCGUGUCACGUCGUCCCAGUCAAAGAAGGUAAAAAGGAGUAGGCUCAAUAGAAAGUGAACUCAGACCUUGUCUUUCACGCAUGGGGAGGAAGGAGAUAACAAGAACCAAGUUGGUGGUAUCUGGGGAAUGGCUUCAACGGAGAAAGAGGGGUCGAAAGCGAAAGGGCAGAGCAUAUGUAGCUCCUGAUAUAGGAUAAUUCCGGAUAGUGUAGUUAUGUCGAGCGACAGAAGGGAGUCUGAAGACUGAAGAUAAGAAUAGUCUUGCUAAGAUGAAUGCCGCUUGAACGAGUUUAAGAGGUGAAAGAGUGAAAUCAAACUCUUCCUUUUCAGGUCGGGUUAAAGAAGGGUCUCAUCGGGGUAUUCACCUAGCUCCUUAGCUUCCUAUAUUCCCACUCGAGCGGGAUCAAAGGGGAUGAGUUAUUCUCGUAGCUAAAUGCCCAAGUCGGGCAGGUAUAGAGGAUCAAGAGACUGUACUCGCCCUUCAUCCCUCUUACAUUCAACAGAAGCAAUAGCAAAGAAGCAGCAAGAGUGGAGGGAACAAGCUCUUCAAGCUCAGCUUCGGCAACAGCAACUCGAGAAAGGAAUUCAGUUUGUGAGGAACCGGCCACUUCUUUAUAUACGUCGCCAUUUGACGAUCUGUCUUUAGUAGGUCGUCUAUUCUUUCUUACCUCGGGAUAGGAGUUCCCAAUUUUAUGACUAUGAACGGUCUCUGUCCGCCUUACCAGCUGUCUGAGAUGAGCGUCCAAACCGAAUCGAUCUUUUUGCCCCCCUCAGCUAUCCUUUCCCGUCUUCGUUUAGCAGCGAACUCAAGGAUGGACUUUAUGUAUGAGCUGAAAAGGAGGUAUCCAUAGAUACCAACCAAACUAGCUAGUCAGGGAAGGUAGGUAAGUCAGAGGCAGAUCUAGGGAGUCUUUACUUCUUCGACUUUAGUUAGAUUGAGACCAAUACUCUCCACCAGCAGCAGCACCGGAGUGAUCGUAACCUUUCGAUCUGUUUAUAAGGGGUCAGUACUCGUCAAGAGACGAGACGUAGCUAAUGCUGUUUGAUCACCGUCACGAGAUUGUUUGCAGCUACUAUAGCUAAUCAAUUUCCUGCUUUCAUUCCGUUUGGAAUCUUUAGCUAAUCAAUUUCCUGCUUUCAUUCCGUUUGGAAUCUUAAUGCGAUCUGAGAGCGGAUCUAGGAAUCCCCUGGUAGUGGUAGUUGGGUUGGUGAAAUCCGAUAAUCGAUUGGCUUUAGAAAGGCGGCUUUCCCAACCUAGACAUUGUAACUGAAAGUUCUGCCUACUUGUAGGCUUAGGGUAGUCCUCGAACCUUCUUUCUUUUUCUUUUACUGGGCAUUAAACGAUUUUUAUCCUUUUCCUUUGCUCAGACCCAAGUUACCUGAAGUUCGUGUUCAACGCCAGCGACUUCCCAUCGGAAUGGUAUUCCUAUUGUCCCCUCAAUUUUGAGCACUCACUGAUACAAGUUGUGGGGAUUACAGAUUGAGGGGCUUACAUAGAAGCAAGCAGCAUCAAAUGUCAUUCCUUUUGCAUCCCCUGCUCAUUCUGUGUUCAUCCGUACACCAUCCUCACCUCUUUACCUCACAGUGGCUACCCUCAUUGAGAAGAUUGCAGGGCCAGUCUCGAGUGGUUUCUUAGACUGGCUUCAACAGAUGUCAAGCUCAAUCCUAUUGUCAGAUUCAAUUACUUCCACAACCCAGUUGAUGUUGAACGCUGUGUGAAUGGCACAAGAAAAUAGGGGAUGUGCUCAGAAACAGGGCAUUGAAUGAUUUCAAGUUUCAGGAACUGGUUAGGGGGUCAAGACUUCAGAUUUGUAGGGCCUGCAUUGCCUAUUGACCAAACAAACUAUGUUCAGAUGGCGGAUUUCUGCCGCCGGACGGUAAGCACCAUAUGGCACUACCAUGGGGGCUGCGUGGUGGGGAGGGUGGUUGAUCGUGAUCUUAGGGUCAUUGGAAUUGGUUCACUUUGUGUUGUGGAUGGAUCAGUGUUUGGUGUAUCACCAGGAACCAAUCCUCAGGCCACCCUAAUGAUGCUUGGACGGUAAGUUUAUGUCUUAGUGAAGUUCACAUGCAUUCNGUAGGAGAAUGGUUAUGGACCCAUGAUGACGAGUAGUAAGUGAUGAGUCGGACUUAGAAAAUCUUAGGCCAAACUAAAUGUUGAUCAGUGAAGACAAGAAAGCUUUUAAGUGUAGAUGACUACUUGUACUUGAAAUUCCAUUCCUUUAUCAGGUGGGAGGGUUUAGAGCCAGUUAAGCCAAUAGCAUAUCUAGCAACAGCUUCAGUAACACUAGCUACAUCAGUAGAUCAUUGAUUAGCAUACCUCCUCUGAAUAGUCUACGUGGACCCUAGUUUCUAUUACUAUUAAUUAGAAUUAAUCCAGUAAUGCAGACAGCCUUUACUCUCUUAAAGAGCAGGGGUUUUGGGGUUUAGCCUCAACUCAUUUAAUGAAUGUUGUUUCAUUCACCACACGGAUGAAUCCUACUCUAUAUUUUCCAACAAUGGAAUGGGAACAGUCAUUUGUCUAAAGAGAAAUAGACGUAUAGCAGCUCUCUCUCAUAACAGAAUGAAAGCAAGCAAGAACGAAAUGAGCGCUUACCCUAUCGACCGAACGACCGAAGCUACUAUCCGCAAAUCAUUAACUCCUAAACUCAAGAACUACAGGAAAAGUAAUCUACUGAGCUACCCUCCCGUUAUGCGCCAAUGCUUGAACAAGACCGUUGACCUUUACCAAAAGAAAGAAGAGCUAUUAGCCAGUUUCCUAUAGUUGGCCGAUACAGCUCGACCGAUUGAGAUAGGGCAGAUGCGACCGAUGGAAGGGAUCUAAUUUGAAGAAGGAAGUCAUUUGUGGACUGAUUCCGACCGUUUACCAGAAGACAAGCGAUUCGCGGUAUGGCUUCAGAAGAGGUACUAAUUAUACAAAUAUCGUUUAACGAAUUGCCCGAUUGCCAAUUCACUUCGCCUACCUAUCCCCAAUCACACAGGAAUGUUCACUUGGCCGCCUACCAAUGAUGCCUUUCACUUUCAGACAGUUCCCCGCGCAUCAAAAGACUUCACUUAUAAAGUCAAGAUAAGGAGAGGUGGUCUACGAUCAGGGAAUGUGUUUAUUGUUAGAAUUGGCCGUAGAGAGAGCGCCUAUCCCUUCCCUCAUAAGAGAAGGAGAGCUACCAUUUGAUAGUAUAUGAGUAGGAGUCAAAAUCCAAGCACUCUUAGCUCAGAAACCACACACAGACAAACACAUGGAGGCCCAGUCCAACUCAUAAAUCAUAGACUAACAAAUAUACGUGACAUACACUUCCUGCGCCAAGUUUUCAUCUUAAUCAAUUAAAGCAGUUUGUAAAAUGGUACUUUUAUUUCUGCAACAAGUAACAGUAGUUUUUCUUAUCAUACACUUUUAUGAAUGAAUGAAUCAACAAAAUUAUACUCCUCUGUAUCUUCAAAGACAGAAGUACACAUCACAGGAAAAACCCAAAAAAGCGGAAGAGGAAAUGCUGGUAGAUGGCUAGCAGAUUAGCAGCAAAGUAAGCUUCUAGUUCCUUUUGGCACAACAGGGUAAGUUAGGAGAAAUAUCAGUAGCUCGACUCGAAGAGGAGAGGGUGGGAUCAGGCAUCUGUUAGGCAUCAGGGACAGCGAGAAGUUUCUCACAGAGAUAACUCACAUAUGAAAGAAAGGAUGCUUCGCUUCUAAGGCGUUCCUGCUUCUAGCGCGAAAGCAGACAACGCAAGGAGGGAGCUCGGGCCAAAUACAGCCCACCUAACAGCAGCUAUCAAGGCUAUAGGCGCGAAAGAAAAGCGAGCAGGGAAUUUGGCAUCAUAUCGGUUAGCUGAGCCUGCCUCAAGGAAGAGCUUUGAACCUACUUUCAAAUGAAGUUUCGUUCCGGGGAGUAAUAUCAAGUAAUCUGAUGAUCCGGCCUUUGUGGCCUGGUUAAAGAGUUUCCUGAAUGGAAUAAGCAUUCAACCCCUUUCCUAAAUAAAGAAAGUAAGACAAGCCAGGGAAGUGAAACUUAUACUUAUAUCUUUCUUCGCGCUCUUUUCGUGGAAUGCUCGACUUUAACGCCCUUUCGGACUCGUUUCGAAGCCUGCAUUUUCAGUUGGUACAGAUCCUGUCGACCUAGUUGACUCAAAAAUAGUUGCUGUUUCAGCUUUUACCUCUUCUUGUGCCCUUUGGGCUGUCAUCGGGAUGAUAUAAACCUCCUAGUCUUCUUAACUUAAUGUGGCAAAGCCAGAUGCCUCUUCAUAAGGUAACCGAUUCUACGGCCGUUCUCUAAGAGAAAUCUUUUUUCAUACUUCGUACGCAUCUUUCAGACUUGCGGGGCUGCUUUCUCUAUCGAUCUUUUGUUUGUGGGCUUUCAUCCAUCGCUCUUAUUGAGAGCGACCGUGGUGCGUGGGCGGAUGACGACGAUCAGAGUAAGCACUAUUUGUAUGUUACACCCAAAGAGAAGGAAACCUAAACUCAAGUCCAACGCAAGCCUGCGAUUAAUCAAGUGAGUAAGAGCAGGUCUAAGUGGUAGCCAUUUGUCGCAAAGGUCAGGUCGUCUAAGAAGCGAGCGGUAGGCAUUUGUGCUUCUCGAAUUGCAUAUAGCACGAACGACCAUGAGUCCGUGGGCUUUCUGGUGAAGAGUUUUCGGGGUUCGGGGAGUCUAUUCCAUUGGGAAGAAAAUAAAUAGAGUUCAAGUUGGUGGCUAACCACCUAUUAAGUCUCGUACCUUGCAAAGGUAGAUAGAGUACCCAGGCCCCACCCGGCAAAAGGUAUUCGAGAGUAAUGGACAUGAGAUAGCCUUUCAUUGACAGGAGGCAUAGUAGGAGUGAGACAGCUACUAAUAAGAAGAGACGAGCGUGAUAUCCACUGAUAAGCUGAGCAAGACACAGUGGAUGUUGGUAAGCAUUUAUCGGCAACAAGCUAGCAUCAAUAACAGCUUAUCCCUGAGUUGACCCGGGAUAAUUGGCAUAUUCCUGCUUUCGGAGGUGAGAGAGACUGUUCCCGUUCAAGUGGGAGUUAGAUCGACUUCUCAUUCUAAGGCUGUUGAACCAUUAUACGUUGUAGUAGUUGUCCAAUGCCAGAAACAGUGGGUUGUUUGAUCCACUGGACAAUUGAAGUUCAUUGUGGGCGCUCAUAGGUUAGGAGCUAAUCGGCUAGGGAGGCUAGGGAAUAAUAAGCGUACUUUGACGAGUAAAAAGCGGCUAAGCUAGUGACUUAGGCAGAAAAGCGUACCGUUAAAAGGCAGAAAAGAAGCUCUCCCAGUCGUUGAAUCUCAAAAAUAAUAGACCGGUGGGUGGAACCUCCGAAAGCCGUCGUUAACGAUCACUUCUUUUAUUCCCAGGCAGGCUUGCAGUCGUUUCUAAAAGUCCCGAACAAACCUGCGACCAACCUCUUAGGAUCUCGGACAGGCAGGGGAGCUUUAACCAAAGAUAGGCAAGGCAAUUUGCCUUUUAGCAGACAAAUUCCUACUGUCACUGAGGGGGUCGACUUGCUUAUCAUGAUUCGGCGUCUAACCUCUUAGGGCUUACUCCUUCAUUCCAGAUGAAUCUAGCUAGAUGGAUGCACGAGCGGUUGUUGAAGUCUUUGUCUUUGAUCUUUAGGUAUGUGCCAGCAAUGCCUUUGAAUUUCGAUCGAAGACUGUAUUUCGGAGUGGAGGUCCAAACCUUGACCUUGAACCAGCAUUCCCGUGAUCAGUUCGAUAGAUAUGAUCAAGAGGCUAUGGCUUGAGAGAGUUUUUUUUCAUACUAUAAUGGAGGAACGGCAGGCAUCCCUCCUAUACUAAUAGAUGCGAUCGGAACUCUAUGUUCCUCUGGAAGCGGACUGCGAUUAGAGAGCCCUUUGUGCUUAUAUGGUUGAUUAUAGUACGUUUCUAUUGUAACCGCUAACGAACGAGUUCUUUUGCUUCGAUUUCAUGAAAAGCUGGAUACCAGUUCCGUACCAUACCAACCAUAUAUAGAUACCGCUUCCCAGAGAACAUAGAGUUCCGAUCGCAUCUAUUAGUAUAGGAGGAUGCCUGCCGUUCCUCCAUUAUAGUAUGAAAAAAAACUCUCUCAAGCCAUUAGCCUCUUGAUCAUAUCUAUCGAACUGAUCACGGAAUGCUGGUUCAAGGUCAAGGUUUGGACCUCCACUCCGAAAUACAGUCUUCGAUCGAAAUUCAAAGGCAUUGCUGGCACAUACCUAAAGAUCAAAGACAAAGACUUCAACAACCGCUCGUGCAUCCAUCUAGCUAGAUUCAUCUGGAAUGAAGAGUAAGCCCCUAAGAGUUAGACGCCGAAUCAUGAUAAGCAAGUCGACCCCCCUCAGUGACAGUAGGAAUUUGUCUGCUAAAAGGCAAAUUGCCUUGCCUAUCUUUGGUUAAAGCUCCCCCUGCCUGUCCGAGAUCCUAAGAGGUUGGUCGCAGGUUUGUUCGGACUUUUAGAAACGACUGCAAGCCUGCCUGGGAAUAAAAGAAGUGAUCGUUAACGACGGCUUUCGGAGGUUCCACCCACCGGUCUAUUAUUUUUGAGAUUCAACGACUGGGAGAGCUUCUUUUCUGCCUUUUAACGGUACGCUUUUCUGCCUAAGUCACUAGCUUAGCCGCUUUUUACUCGUCAAAGUACGCUUAUUAUUCCCUAGCCUCCCUAGCCGAUUAGCUCCUAACCUAUGAGCGCCCACAAUGAACUUCAAUUGUCCCAGUGGAUCAAACAACCCCACUGUUUCUGGCAUUGGACCAACUACUACAACGUAUAAUGGUUCAACAGCCUUAGAAUGAGAAGUCGAUCUAACUCCCACUUGAACGGGAACAGUCUCUCUCACCUCCGAAAGCAGGAAUAUGCCAAUUAUCCCGGGUCAACUCAGGGAUAAGCUGUUAUUGAUGCCUAGCUUGUUGCCGAUAAAUGCUUACCAACAUCCACUGUGUCUUGCUCAGCCUUAUCAGUGGAUAUCACGCUCGUCUCUUCUUAUUAGUAGCUGUCUCACUCCUACUAUGCCUCCUGUCAAUGAAAGGCUAUCUCAUGUCCAUUACUCUCGAAUACCUUUUGCCGGGUGGGCCUGGGUACUCUAUCUACCUUUGCAAGGUACGAGACUUAAUAGGUGGUUAGCCCACCAACUUGAACUCUAUUUAUUUUCUUCCCAAUGGAAUAGACUCCCCGAACCCCGAAAACUCUUCACCAAGAAAGCCCACGGACUCAUGGUCGUUCGUGCUAUAUGCAAUUCGAGAAGCACAAAUGCCUACCGCUCGCUUCUUAGACGACCUGACCUUUGCGACAAAUGGCUACCACUUAGACCUGCUCUUACUCACUUGAUUAAUCGCAGGCUUGCGUUGGACUUGAGUUUAGGUUUCCUUCUCUUUGGGUGUAACAUACAAAUAGUGCUUACUCUGAUCGUCGUCAUCCGCCCACGCACCACGGUCGCUCUCAAUAAGAGCGAUGGAUGAAAGCCACAAACAAAAGAUCGAUAGAGAAAGCAGCCCCCGCAAGUCUGAAAGAUGCGUACGAAGUAUGAAAAAAGAUUUCUCUUAGAGAACGGCCGUAGAAUCGGUUACCUUAUGAAGAGGCAUCUGGCUUUGCCACAUUAAGUUAAGAAGACUAGGAGGUUUAUAUCAUCCCGAUGACAGCCCAAAGGGCACAAGAAGAGGUAAAAGCUGAAACAGCAACUAUUUUUGAGUCAACUAGGUCGACAGGAUCUGUACCAACUGAAAAUGCAGGCUUCGAAACGAGUCCGAAAGGGGCGUUAAAGUCGAGCAUUCCACGAAAAGAGCGCGAAGAAAGAUAUAAGUAUAAGUUUCACUUCCCUGGCUUGUCUUACUUUCUUUAUUUAGGAAAGGGUUGAAUGCUUAUUCCAUUCAGGAAACUCUUUAACCAGGCCACAAAGGCCGGAUCAUCAGAUUACUUGAUAUUACUCCCCGGAACGAAACUUCAUUUGAAAGUAGGUUCAAAGCUCUUCCUUGAGGCAGGCUCAGCUAACCGAUAUGAUGCCAAAUUCCCUGCUCGCUUUUCUUUCGCGCCUAUAGCCUUGAUAGCUGCUGUUAGGUGGGCUGUAUUUGGCCCGAGCUCCCUCCUUGCGUUGUCUGCUUUCGCGCUAGAAGCAGGAACCGCCUUAGAAGCGAAGCAUCCUUUCUUUCAUAUGUGAGUUAUCUCUGUGAGAAACUUCUCGCUGUCCCUGAUGCCUAACAGAUGCCUGAUCCCACCCUCUCCUCUUCGAGUCGAGCUACUGAUAUUUCUCCUAACUUACCCUGUUGUGCCAAAAGGAACUAGAAGCUUACUUUGCUGCUAAUCUGCUAGCCAUCUACCAGCAUUUCCUCUUCCGCUUUUUUGGGUUUUUCCUGUGAUGUGUACUUCUGUCUUUGAAGAUACAGAGGAGUAUAAUUUUGUUGAUUCAUUCAUUCAUAAAAGUGUAUGAUAAGAAAAACUACUGUUACUUGUUGCAGAAAUAAAAGUACCAUUUUACAAACUGCUUUAAUUGAUUAAGAUGAAAACUUGGCGCAGGAAGUGUAUGUCACGUAUAUUUGUUAGUCUAUGAUUUAUGAGUUGGACUGGCCUCCAUGUGUUUGUCUGUGUGUGGUUUCUGAGCUAAGAGUGCUUGGAUUUUGACUCCUACUCAUAUACUAUCAAAUGGUAGCUCUCCUUCUCUUAUGAGGGAAGGGAUAGGCGCUCUCUCUACGGCCAAUUCUAACAAUAAACACAUUCCCUGAUCGUAGACCACCUCUCCUUAUCUUGACUUUAUAAGUGAAGUCUUUUGAUGCGCGGGGAACUGUCUGAAAGUGAAAGGCAUCAUUGGUAGGCGGCCAAGUGAACAUUCCUGUGUGAUUGGGGAUAGGUAGGCGAAGUGAAUUGGCAAUCGGGCAAUUCGUUAAACGAUAUUUGUAUAAUUAGUACCUCUUCUGAAGCCAUACCGCGAAUCGCUUGUCUUCUGGUAAACGGUCGGAAUCAGUCCACAAAUGACUUCCUUCUUCAAAUUAGAUCCCUUCCAUCGGUCGCAUCUGCCCUAUCUCAAUCGGUCGAGCUGUAUCGGCCAACUAUAGGAAACUGGCUAAUAGCUCUUCUUUCUUUUGGUAAAGGUCAACGGUCUUGUUCAAGCAUUGGCGCAUAACGGGAGGGUAGCUCAGUAGAUUACUUUUCCUGUAGUUCUUGAGUUUAGGAGUUAAUGAUUUGCGGAUAGUAGCUUCGGUCGUUCGGUCGAUAGGGUAAGCGCUCAUUUCGUUCUUGCUUGCUUUCAUUCUGUUAUGAGAGAGAGCUGCUAUACGUCUAUUUCUCUUUAGACAAAUGACUGUUCCCAUUCCAUUGUUGGAAAAUAUAGAGUAGGAUUCAUCCGUGUGGUGAAUGAAACAACAUUCAUUAAAUGAGUUGAGGCUAAACCCCAAAACCCCUGCUCUUUAAGAGAGUAAAGGCUGUCUGCAUUACUGGAUUAAUUCUAAUUAAUAGUAAUAGAAACUAGGGUCCACGUAGACUAUUCAGAGGAGGUAUGCUAAUCAAUGAUCUACUGAUGUAGCUAGUGUUACUGAAGCUGUUGCUAGAUAUGCUAUUGGCUUAACUGGCUCUAAACCCUCCCACCUGAUAAAGGAAUGGAAUUUCAAGUACAAGUAGUCAUCUACACUUAAAAGCUUUCUUGUCUUCACUGAUCAACAUUUAGUUUGGCCUAAGAUUUUCUAAGUCCGACUCAUCACUUACUACUCGUCAUCAUGGGUCCAUAACCAUUCUCCUACCAAUUUAUGUGGUUGAUAUCUUGAUCACUGGCAUAAUGCAACUGCAAUUAUAAGAUUCAUUUUCGAUCUGAAGGGGUCAUUGCAUUCUUUUUUUGGGGUGGUGGUUCGACGGACUUUUCAUGGACCCUUUCUACUCUACCGCAAUCGAAGAGUUGAGAAUCCCUAUGUACACUUCGGGACACUGAACCUAAUGUAUUUGGAUGAAGCUAUCGAAUAACGAAAUACAACUUACAAACCAAACCCAUUGAAGAUUUGUAGCUCUCAUGUUAGCUGUGCUCUUUCCUAAGUGCACAAAGAAAGAAAGGGAAAUCAUUACCCGUACAUAACAACAAGGGUCUUCUUUAGACACUCGCCCUAUAACAGAUAAGCAGGAAAAGGUGCCUAAGAGAAUAAUAGGUUGUCCGAUUCCCAUACUUCCAAUCUUGAGCAUUCGUCAAACAAACAAAUAAGUAGGAUAAGGGCCCUCGUUUCCUUAACCUUAAACUCAAUCAAAAAGGACGGAAAGAUGACAACUCGUUACUCUACUCUUUUUCCAAGAAAGGCGCACUCCAAGUACGAUUCUGUAUAUCAGGGAUAGAUUAUUGAACGGUUUAGGGACAGAGAUACAAUACAGCUCUUUGCAGGUUCGAACCCUGCUUGUCCUCUAAUUGUUUUAUAGUAAUUGCGUUUAUAGUUCCAGCUCCAGCAGCUCUCCAGUCAAGAGACAGGGGUUUGCAAAAGAUCGCGCCCGGGGCCGAGUACGAAAGGGACUCGUUUAUGGCCGGUAACCCGUCGGUUGAGUAGUCAAAGUUUUGUAAUUGCCAUCCUCUAGGAGAGGGGAAACUUGGUAUUUAUAGUUCGUAGAGAGCCGAUUAAUAAGUUCAAGAUCUGGCCAAUCCCAGGUUGUUUGUUACGAAGGUUGCCGGGGCUGACUCAGCACAUAAUGAAAAGGGCUUUCCUCUUCCUAGAAGAAAAGGGGUCAAGUUAUAACUCUCCAGUUUCAAAGAUUUGAAUCUUGUUGGGAGCCCCUGAUUAGCGGUUGGAAGCACGACGGAAUCUAAAUAGACCAAUGCGUGCUGUCACACCUACCUAUACAAGAUGGAAGAGUACGCUCGAUCUAUCACAGAGUAGGUAAUGGGUAUAGAUCUAGUUGCUCGCCCUAGGAAGGUCCAAGCCCCAUAAAAUAGCAUACUUCGGGUGUACUCUUAUAUUAAAAUAAGACUUCAAAUGAAAUGGAUUUUGUUCGUAGUGAUCUAAUGCUGGGGUUAGGGGAGGAGAGUGUGCGACCGCGAAGUGAUAAUUAUUUUCGAUAGUAGUCCCUUUCUUUUUGAGUGGAGAGGAUUAUUGCCCGAGCUGGAGCUUUUAGUAUGUGGGAGCGCCCUUUCUUCCUUUCAAAAAAUUCCGACUAAAGAUUAUGGUAUUAGUAGAGUGCUACAUCGUCGAGAUGACUUCGCUUGCCAGUAGAUGGUUCCCUUUAUGUCAGGAUGCUUGAAAAAUGAAUACAAUGUACGAAAUUCCCUUGGAUCAGCCAGAGAUUCUUCUUCUUCCUUGACUUGUGAUCAAUUAGACAAGAGGAGUUUAUCCUUGUAGGUGCCUAGGGACUGGCAAUCCACAUUGGGACUCCUACUUGCUUGCAACUGCUUUGCUUCUAAUUCGUGUGGUCUCGGCCAAUUGAUCCAUACAUAAUAUUCAUAGGGAGCUAUCAAGACUACGAGGUGGAACUCCGGGAAAGGCAGUAGUAUCCUCAAGCUCGUCCCCUCGCUAUCGAACUUGUAAGGGACUCUUUGUUUUGUUGGAUUAUUGAAGUGGACUACUCAGUCCACGACAAAAAGGCAAUACAAUAAUUGCCAACUGUGUCUUUGCUUUCGUAUAUAAACUUAAUUUAAGACUAGAAUACUGAAUUUCAUACUACACUCUCCCUAGGUAUGAAAUUCAAUCCCUUGCCCCCCCUUGCCGAAAAGUAUUUAGAAAGCUUCUCAGCUAUCACAAAGAGGGAAAUUUUUAUUCAAUCGACCUGGAAACACAAUCCUGGUGAGAGCUUUUCAUCAUACCCUGCGAGGUGGAGGUCCUUUACCUCAAGAAACCAUUUGACCCGCCAACUCCUCAAAUUAUUUCUAACCCAAAGAGCUAUUACCUAUAGUCCUUCCUGUCUAUUUCGAGGAGGCGGGGUAAGAAUAAGAACUUGGAAAAGGAACAACUCAAAAAAAAAGGGUCAUCUUCGAAUUACUGAAAGGGGAAUGGCGAAUCCAACUCUCGAAUCCGGAAUGGGAAUGCUGUAGGAGAUGGGGCGGGCCCAAUCUUCCUAUCAAACUAAUAAUAUAUGCCAAGCCCCUCUUAGCCCUAUAGUCUUUCUCCCUCCCACCUUUGCCUAUACCUAUGCUUCUAUUCUCUCUACUGGUUGAUCGACGAGUCCACUGGCAUCUGGAGCAGUAUAUGUAACUUCGACGGUAUGCCACUAGACCAGGUGCUCGCUAUAGAGGCUACGAACCAACCAACGGGCCAGCUUUGUUGGAAUUGAUUCUGAUCGAGGUAGUGUAUGGGAUGCAUCUAAAUUCGCGUAUGGAACCUCUGCUGCUAGCUUUGCACUCGGAGGAUCUGAAAAUGACUCCUUCAUUAUUUUAUUUGGUGUAACCGAGCGAAGUGCGGAAGCUAGAGCUAAAGCAAGGUACGAAGCUACAGCUAGCAAGCUUUGGUUAGUACUCGACUGAAAGGAGAGGGCUUUGCAGCUGCUGCCAACAAGUUGAAGAGUUUGCUGCAAAAGAAAAGCUAGGAGCGAGCCAAAGAGCGAGUGAGGUCUAUCCACGUAGCCAAGUCUUGUCAAGCCCAAGCCCAGUUGAAGCUGCUCUUGCCAAAGCUCUUUAACCAGUUCCUCAAGGACAGGAUAGCUAAUCCGCAAGGAAAGGACAAGAAGAAGAUUGUUCCUGAAGUUUAUGCUAUCAAUUAGGAAUUUCAUUCGGAUAGAAGAAGAGAAGGAGACUACCAAUUAGUACCUCGACCGAUCUGGCCGUUCAACAUUUGAAAACCCAUGAAUAGGAAUCAAACCGACCCGCUUCACACAUUUGCAAGAUGCCCAUCCCCGUACUCGAAAGCGUUGAUUCGCCCUACCGCAGCCCCCUGCUUUCAAGAGAUGUUUCCAUGUUCGACCUUCCGGGAAAGAAGAAAGCAGCGGCAUAGGAGACACCCCUAGAGGUCUUCAACCCAUUAUCAACAGAUAUAGGGACAUUCGAUACAAAUAAACCUCUUCCUCUUGGAAACACUUCGAAUGCCGAUCCACCCCAUCAUCCCUAAGCUCAUUCUUCCAAAUCAAACAGGAUUUAUGGGAGGAAGAUCGAUGAAUGACAAUGUCGCCCUCGACCCCCGUAAGGCCAAAGAAAGCGCUUUCUUUUCAUUUUUCUUCCUCAUUCUAAUGUUUAGCUCAUCGAUGGCUUGGUCAUCCUUACUCCAUUCCUUAUUCAGGAAUGGCGGGAUGGAUAAGUGUCUUCUUUAAUAGCUAGUUGUUUUUUAAGGAUUUCAACAAAAAAGAGUUCAAACAAGAAUUGCGUAAGUGAUGUUCGAAAGCACGGAUUCCUGGUCAAGUAGGAGAAAGUAGCUUAGUACUCUCGGAACCUCUCACUUCCCUUUGAUUCUCCUUAUUCAGUCCGAUAUUGAUUGAAUCUAAUCUGCGUGCUAAUUGCUAUUUCCUUAGCUUAGCCUUAUUAGGAUUGAAUCACGGAGACCAAGGAAAAGAAUCUUAGAGGCCAGUAGCAUGGGUAAAGAAGUAAGUUCCGGGUCCUUGAUACAGAACACUUGUUAUCCGUGGAAAGACCACGCUAGGGCCUAAGUGCUAUAACUGGUGAGCUGCCCGAUUUUCUGUAUCAGCAAAGGACCCACCUUGUCCAGUAACCAUUCUGAGAGGGUGUACGAGACUUAGCGAAACUGACUUGGCCGUCAAUCACACACAAAAAGGCGGAUCAGUACAAGACGGCGGACAUUGGUGGCUGUAAGUCAGAAGUAGGGUACCGAUACUGCAGCGAUCGCUCGGUAGUAGAGGUGGCUACUAUCGCCAUGAGAAAAUAAUGGUCAAAGGCAUGUCGGGUGAAGAAGGUGGCUCCAUACCGGGGAAUUGGGAUUCUAACAAUAAGGAAUGGUUCGGUUUUUCAGUAGAGUCCUAUUCUAUUCCUGACGAAGGAAUAGAGUAAGGACUUGGAAGUUCGAGCAGAGAGCAGAAACAGAAUAUGACCUUCCCCAGGAGGGGUAAAAGAGAGCUUCUUAUAUGCGUUCGUGCUCCACACCCGUGGAGCGCUUCACUCGCUUCAGCUUCUUAUAAGACUCUUUUCUUCCCUAUCCUUUCGAGGAGGGAAAUUUUAUUUCGUAAGGUUCGCUUAGCGCAGGCGAGUCCCAAGCAAGUACUAGUUUUAUACUAUCUAUAGCAGCCAAGAGUUCACAUCUGGUCAGUCUUUUCGACAACUUUGACUGUUAGGAGGAUCCCUCAACUCUUUAUCUUUCUCUUUCAUGUUUAACCCCAUGACAUUCCAGACUACAGCCUUCAUGAGACAGUCUUAGUGAUGGAAUCUUUACUCGCCCUUUGGGCAUUCCCCCUAGUUGCUUUGGCCGGACCACCUUUAUCAGGUUUUGAUUUGCCUUUUCCUUUGCUUCUGCUUUCUGGCUUUCUGGAUGAUUAGAGAUCUUACUAGCAAAAGGGAGAAAAGCUUACCUUAGUUACGGUUAAGUCAUCACUUCGGCUAGUUCGUAAAAGAGCAAGGAAGCACUAGUCCGAGUACACGAAGACGCUGCCCUAUCUAUCUUUAUCUUUCUCCUCUCGAGAACGGUAACAAGCAGACGUAGCACACGCACUUUACUAAUAGCGGGAAUCACAGACCAGCCCUACAGUUCCUCUCUUUCGAGAGUCGAAAUAGGAUUGGAACAAUAGGAAUGUCACCAUCCUUAUACAAUUGAUAACAAGCGAUCGGACUCAAAAUUGGGUACUAGUCACAUUCCUAGCGAGGCAUGACAGAACCUAAGUCUUUACCAAUGAAACAUGGAUUUUUUCCAAUGCCAAUGAGUCCUUUUAGUCUCCUCCGUCAUGAAGACUCAACUAAGGCAACUCACUAUUGCCACCCGGGGCGCCUUCACCGACUCAGGACAGGAGCUCAGCAUCGUGCGGUUCACCCAAAAUGCGCAUGUGCCUUAUCUCUCCCCCCAACGACUGUGUAACGGAGCCACCGCCUACUUACUCGGGUUGGAAUGGUAUAAAAUAAGGUUAUGCUGGGGGUUGUAUACGAUACGGUGGUUUCAGUGAUAAUAAAAGCAGUACGGUUCUAGCAAGCAAGUAAGCCAAUCAGUGCUGCUGUUCUGUUCCUCAAGGUGGUUCAAUCCCACCCGAUAAAGGCAUAGGCGGCGAUACAGUGAUAGAAAGUCCUUCCUUCAGUCCCUCAAUCAGGCCUUCAUUCAGGCUAACGGUUGGCAUUUCAAUUAGUANAAGAUGUGAAGAAAGUCCGAGAUUGGAACCUUGGAGGAGGUCCUGUUUUCUUGUUUAUGCUGCUUUUUUCUGGUUAUAUUGUUUACUAAGAGAGAGUCUGGUUGAAGGCGAUGCCAUAAAAGGGAAUGGAACGGAAACUUCCUAUAAGGAAAUAGGAAAUCGCUGUCACCGCGGGACUGAUGUAAAAGAAACUGGGCAAUGGAACUCCUGGAGCUUCUCUGUGCCUGUCUUAUCGCUUUAUCCGAUUUGAAACUGAAAGCUUGAAAGCUUCUUUGCUUUUGCCAUUUAUCUAUCUAGCUGGCUCGCUAACUGCUAGUCUUUUAUUGGAAUAACUGCUAGGUUUUAUCUUAUCCUAUGGGGAUAACUAAGAGGCCUAGUCUUCUUACUAGAUUCUAUAUUAGGACACUCUUGGGGAAAGAUCGUUAGCCCAACCCUAUACAAACAUAUCAAAAGAAAAGCUCUAUGCUGCCACUCUCCCUCUAUGCUGCCACUCUCCCCUAGCUUUCUGUCCAUCCCUUUCGCUAGUGCUGAGUACUUAAACUGGGUCAAUAGGAAUUGUUACUCCUGCUACACUUCCAAUAGGAUAAAUGGCACUUGCUGUAAAAAACUCCGGGUCCUCCCUUGCUUCUGUCUAUCAUAUCGGUUACUCGAGCCGUUAACAACCGAUUCUAUUUCAUAGCAAACAAGCCCUUCUCCAACAGCCUAGGAUGAUUCAAUUUCUAAGAGCGCAUUCUGCCCAGAAAUCCCAUUCGAUGUUUAUUAGAGUCUAGGAUGAAUAUUCUUAACUGACUUCACCACCACUAUAAUCUCAACCAGUGCAUUAGCUAAGGCCAGUAACAACUCGAAAUAACAUAAGAUAUAAGAUAAGGAAUUAAGGAAAGAGACCCCACCCGAAUUCUUGUCAAUUCUUCUUUUGGUGGACCUUCGUCCGUAGCGUAUAGUUUGUAGUCGGUCUUUGGCAGCCUUUGGGACGAAAUCCCCAUUUUUCUUGAUCGGGACUAGCCCACGUCAGGGAAUGUAAUUGUAGGUCACACUGAUAAUUGUUCACUGUCUUGCUAUCUGAACUUGAAGUGAAGAUUCUGUUUGUGUUCCGUUUACCGCACCGCGGUAGAAGAUCUAAUAUUCAAGAAUUCGUUUUGAGUUCGUUCUUUUUCAUGUCUUGGUUCACAGUUUAUCUGAAUCAGACUAAGAGCUUGGCAUCAACAAAGCAAAGCAAGGCCCAUUGAGCUUAGCCUAGAGCAGAUCGAAAAGUUCUCGCGAAGCCGGGAACCCUUUGCCGAAGAUCCUUCUCUUUCUCUGUGAAGAUAGACUGCUGUUUAUUGCUUUGCGUGUCAAGUGCGAGAUUGGUUGAGAACCCUUCGCCCACAGUGCUUUCAAGCUCCGUUUGGGCGCCCGUGUACUAGGGUUAAGGUGGAAGAUCGAAACGAAAUGGAAGUCAGCCUAUUAAUUAUCUAAUUAUAACCCAUUCAAUUCAGGUUUACAACAAAACAACAAUAUCAUAAGAGAAGAAAGAUCGUAGCGUAGAAAGAUUACCUCUUCCUUCCUUUCUUCAUCCUAGCACUAUGAGAUGAGAUUGAUCGUUUUUUUUCUUCUUCAUUUUUUUUCCGGUAUGCGCUCCGCGAGCAAGCAAGGAGCGAGAGAAUAAAGUGGGCUGUGGUGAUGUUAGAAUUUGCACCUAUUUGUAUCUAUUUAGUGAUUAGUCUGCUAGUUUUUUUGAUCUUACGCGGGUUUGGUUCCAUGGGUUUGAGAAUUUCUCUAUUGUUCAUCACUCUGGUUUUGUUUUUUUUUAUUGGCUUUGUGAAACACUUGAAAUUGGAUCGUAUUUCGUUUGGCUUCUCUCCAAAGUAGGACUCCAUUUUUGGGUGCGCGUCCUUUGCCAGUUAUGCAUAAAACUGGGCUUUGGUGGGGGUCUGACCUUCGCCCUUGGGUUUAAAAGCAUUUCUAAGUAGCGAAUCCGCGUCUUUCUUUGAAAUGCGGGUUUCGCCUACUGGGGCGGAAGCCGGCGUAAACCAACCUCCGGAAGGGCAUGAAGCCGGCCCUUCUAAUGUGGCCCCCGCGGACUCUCCUCUGGGGUCUUUUCCCUCAAUUCCCUCCUCUUUUACACCUAUACCAACCGAUUCCUUCAAUCCCCUCUGUACCUUCACUCCCCUCCUUAGAGGAAAAUAACCUUUUUGAGAGGGAACAGUCGGUUGAAGGGCCAGCGCCACAGCAGGGGCCUCAAAUUCCAAAUCCCUCCCCUGUUCAGCAUGAGGAAUGGCUAGGGGAGGGAUGACCCAUUGGAUUCCAUUUUUGGGAAUGACCGUAGGCGCAGGACCCAAUUUGAAGUGGGUUACUUUCUAUCCUCUUUUGGGGUUCGGAGUUCUUCCAGGGACUUCACAGAUAGGGUUGGGAAGAACUAGGGCUCCAGACGGCUUCCGAGCCGGAGCUGGAGCAAAUUCGGAUCUUUAUCCGACAACUUUCCCAACCCGAUGGAAGGCCCGCCUCCGCGCGGGAUGCCGCCGCCAUUCUAACGACCAGGUUCGAAGAAUGGAAGAGGGACAACCACUAAGUUAGGCCCCAGAGCCCACUAAUUCUAGUGCUUCCAAACGCCAGGUAGAUGCUACAUAGUUGGUUCUGGUUCUCAUCCUUCAGAGACUACGAGUGUAAUAGGAGCAUCCGUCGACAAAAGGAUCACCCUAAGAUGAGCAUCUCAUGGCUAUUGAGAACGAAUCAAAUCAGAUGGUUCUAUUUCUCAAUCUUUCUGACUUGCUCCUACGGAACCAAGGUCGAAAAGAUUGAGAAAAUAGGUCAUUCACAACCACUGAUAAAGGAUUCCUCGAAAAGUUAAGGAUGAGUAAUCCUUUUUAGAAUCGAAUGGGUUCGAUCUUAUCUUAUACAUACGCGAGGAAGGUAAUCAAAAAAGAAAGAAGACGUAAUGAGGGCCGGAAAAUCUUCUUAUAAUGGGAUAAAAGAAUAAUAGGAUGCUUAAGCCAAUAAGAUAGAUAAAGCAUACCCCUCGUAAAAAAAACUAUGUCACUUCCUUCCCCAGCGUUCAGUGGAACGUGAGGCACUCUUUAUUGGCUUUCAGGCAAUGGAAGGGCUAUUCCCACUACGCGCUAACUAGAAGAGCUGGAAAGAAGUAUGUAAGUUUCUGCCCUUCUUCGUCUCCACCCCCUAUUCUCUGUGCGUCGGUGUGGCUAUCUUCUCCUAUGGAUUCUUUCCUUAAAAGGAAUUUUUUCUAUUUUAUUCUUUCUUCGGGAUUCAACGGCAAAAAGUCGACGUGAGGCACUAUUCCCACAGCAGCAGGUUGGAUUCUCCAACUUUUGCAAAUGAACCCCGUUCAAGUUCCAUCCCAACUGUCUCAUCUUGAGAAAAGGCAAUCCUCUACAGGAAGGGCCAAUGGCUACGUCCCGUCGGUUCGUCUACCCGGACACCGUGCACUCCCGCAGCAUCCAUAAUUACAUAUUAUGGUUGAGUCUAAACUGUUGCGCUCACUUAGUUAGGGCUUAGUCUCGACGGGAACCUCCCAUCUUGGGUAAGGGGCUCACUCCAUCGCCCUACUAGUCUCACUCUCCCCUACGCUUUUGUGGGCUUCGGAGCUCUGUCUUCUCCCCUUUCCCUUUGCUUUGGCUUUUUGCCUUAUCUCGUGCAAAUGAAAUAAUAGGAGAAAAGAGUUUUACAUCUCCAACUUGAUCUACGGUGCGAUCAGACCAAGUGCGAGAUUGGCAUCGAGGAAUUGCGUAUGAAAGGUUGUCUAUCUGAGACUAUCUAUCUAGUACGAUCGAUCCAGUCAUUCAGUACAGUAUCUUCGCUAGGUGUUGAUGGAAUUAUUAUAGCAGGUCGGUCUAGGUAGUUGAUAUUGCUCCUGAGAACUUCGUUGUUUCGAGUUUGUGCCCCAUGCUUUCUUUCGUUGGAAAAACCAAUAACCAAUCCAUUUCAAUUCGAAUUCUUCACUACUCAUACAGGCUUAACUCCGUUAAGCUGUCUGGAGGGAAUCCUUUUUUCUCAAUCAAGCAUGCCUCAACUGGAUAAAUUCACUUAUUUUACACAAUUUUUUUGGUUAUGUCUUUUCUUCUUUACUUUCUAUAUUUUGGUUUUCGUAUCAUGGAUCUUGGUUCGCGCUUUAAGGCAGUUCCCAUUUAUGUAAUCAACCACAUGCUAAAUCUAAAUGCUUCUCAGGCGCCCGCUUCUUCCUCAUCUUCUUCAAAUUCUAAUAAUAACAGAAAGGAUAAAAGAAAAGAGAAGGAGGAUUGUUUACGCAAUCUUGUAUUUCAAGAAGUGGACGCGUAUUUAACAAAAUAAAAAAAAAUAGAAUUGCCGAGUUCCCCGGAGCUCACCCUUAUAUAGAAACACCCAGUUUCUUAAAUAAGGUAGCCUCUGAACUUCUCCGGGAUGCCGGAUUGAUACCCGCCCCUAAAAUGAACUUGCUUGAUUCGGUCCACAAAAAUUUACUACAGGCUUUCAACCUAGUCAAAAAAGAAGGAGAUAUAAAUAAUGAAAUCUACGAUUGUAUAAGAUGUCUUCUAAAAGAUUAUCGUUGACCCAGAAUUCCAAUUCCGUUUUGAGUUUGUUACUUAACUUGUAGUAAUUCUGUUUUUAUACGAGACCCGCCGGGUCGAUUUUGGGCGCUUGAAAUCAAAAAAUGAGGUUUGGUUUGUUUGAGUUUUGGUUUGUUUGAGUAAGGGAAACUUUGGCAGCAAGCUAAAAGUAAAGUAGUUGGAGCCAAAGGUGACAACGAGGCCCCCAAGCCCAAGGCAAGGGGGGGAAAGAAGAGUGGGUAUGCGGGCUUCUUUCGCU